GGUUUGAUCCCUGUUUGUCAGAGAUAAAGGACCCGAUGCUGCUGAGAAGUUUUCUCUCACAGUUUCAUUCACACUGCUGCCUUUGUUCCUGUCAGACUUUACUGUGCUGCUAAAGUUCAGAGAAACGUUGUGUUUGACAAGUGUCGAGGUUUUAAAAGAGCUGGACAGAGCAAACAACACACGAAGUUCCUGUGAGCCCCUGCAGACGCCCGGGAGCCGUCCCUGCCUCUCCUCCCUCUCCGAGCUAAUAUCACGAAGAUGUUGAAUUCUUGGACAGGUAGCCAGAUCAGCGCAGUGCAGCGUCUUUAAUGUCCCCGAAGCCAGUAAGUGAGUGUGAGGUGACACUUCCCAGACUCUGCUGAUGGACUGUCACACCUCUUCAGUUUUGACCUGGAGCGAGACAGAGUCGUCUGAAUCCGCCCACGUCGCUGGUUUUCACAUCAGUCUCCUCGUCGUCUUGAUCCCCGGGGCCCCGGACACAGAGCUUCCUACUCUGUCGGAGACACACCGAGUUCAUCAUGGUGCUUUACAGAAGAGGAGAUGCAAAUACGACUACAAAGAUACUGUG